CAGUAGCCGCGGUAAAACGUAGGGUGCAAGCGUUAAUCGGAAUUACUGGGCGUAAAGCGUGCGCAGGCGGUUAUAUAAGACAGAUGUGAAAUCCCCGGGCUCAACCUGGGAACUGCAUUUGUGACUGUAUAGCUAGAGUACGGCAGAGGGGGAUGGAAUUCCGCGUGUAGCAGUGAAAUGCGUAGAUAUGCGGAGGAACACCGAUGGCGAAGGCAAUCCCCUGGGCCUGUACUGACGCUCAUGCACGAAAGCGUGGGGAGCAAACAGGAUUAGAUACCCCAGUAGUCUCUGUCUCUUAUAC
rnacentral:rRNA from 1 species